rnacentral:rRNA from 1 species
UACGUAGGGACCAAGCGUUGUUCGGAUUUACUGGGCGUAAAGGGCGCGUAGGCGGCGUGACAAGUCACUUGGUGAAAUCUCCGGGCUUAACUCGGAACGGUCAAGUGAUACUGUCGUGCUAGAGUGCAGAAGGGGCAAUCGGAAUUCUUGGUGUAGCGGUGAAAUGCGUAGAUAUCAAGAGGAACACCUGAGGUGAAGACGGGUUGCUGGGCUGACACUGACGCUGGAGGCGCGAAAGCUAGGGGAGCAAACCGG